AGGACGAACGCUGGCGGCGUGCUUAACACAUGCAAGUCGAACGAGGUGCUUCGGCACUUAGUGGCGAACGGGUGAGUAACACGUGAGCAACCUGCCCUUGGCUCUGGGAUAGCCUCCGGAAACGGGGAUUAAUACCGGACAUGACCUUCUCCUGCAUGGGGGAGGGUGGAAAGUUUUUCGGCCAGGGAGGGGCUCGCGGCCUAUCAGCUUGUUGGUGGGGUAAAGGCCCACCAAGGCGACGACGGGUAG
rnacentral:rRNA from 1 species